rnacentral:rRNA from 1 species
GAUGAACGCUGGCGGCGUGCCUAAUACAUGCAAGUCGAGCGAACAGAUCAGGGUCUUGCUCCUCUGACGUUAGCGGCGGACGGGUGAGUCACACGUGGAUAACCUACCUCUAAGACUGUGAUAACUUCGGGAAACCGGCGCUACUACCGGAUAAUUUAUUGACCCGCAUGCUUCCAUCGUGAAAGUCGCUUUUUCUGUCACUUAUAGAUGGAUCCGCGCAGCAUUAGCUAGUUGGUCAGGUAACGGCUUACCAAGGCAUCGAUGCGUAGCCGACCUGAGAGGGAGGUUGGCCACAUGGGAUGUGAGACAGAGCCCAGACUCCGGCGCGAGGACGCAGUCGGGAAUCUUACGCAAGGCGGGAGUGCCGAACGGAGCGAAGUGGGAGGAGUGAUGAAGGACUUCGGAUGGGAGAACUAUGUAAGUAGGAGAGAAGAAAUGUGCAUUUAACGGUGAACGUAUUGACGGUACCUGGUCAGGAAGCCCCGGCUAACUACGUG